rnacentral:lncRNA from 10 species
UGCUAGAGGACAACUGCGAGAGCAAGUGAGGGAGGGGAAGAGGAGGAGCUCACCCAAAUUUCCCCGGUUUGGCUGCAUUCUGAACCAGUUGGGGACAAAAGCACCAAGGUCUCAGCCAGGUGAGGGAGUUUGCCCAAGGCACAGUGACUGAACUGGAACUGGUGCUGCAGGGAGCUGGAAGGAAGGAAGGAAGUCCAAACAGAGGGAACGUGGACAGACUCAGGCACAAGGGCUUAAGCUAUGAGCCUAGCAGUGAGGCCCAACUCAGUUUACAAG